GGCCGCUUACGGGCGCAGUCGUUCCCGUCUGCGGGAGGAUUCGGAGCACGAGGAACAGAAAAGACGUAUCUCCACGAGGGAGGAUUAGUCGCCUUAAAUGAAAAUAAUAGCACCAAAAAAUUGCGCGGUCCGCGGGGCAGAAGUGGAGACCUGGAGAAUAAGGUCUUUCCAGAAGAUUCCAAGCUCUGAGCUGUGGCUGUGGGAAGCAGAGCAACAGUUCUGGUAAUGACCCGGAGCCUGGAGAGGUGCUUCUGCCUCCUGAGGGUUGCCUGUCUCCCGCGGCUUUAGCAGAUGAACGUUUGGUUUCCUUAUUUCUGUGAGAAAAGUCUGACACGUUACAAACAGUGUUCAAUUACAGUCAGAUUCAUCUCAUAGUCCCUCCAUUUGGUUAUGAACUUGGAAACUGAAAUACGAUGCUACGUAUUUAGUCCAUUAGCAUACGUGAAUUCAAACAACUCGGGAGAAAUCCUCGUGUUCAGGAAGAGACGAUAGUCACCAUUGAAAUACUCAUUGCUGUACAUCACGUGGAGCUGCCAGAGUCCUGUGUAACACUGGAUGAACUUUCUCUAAUGUUUCUGUAAAAAUGAGGUGCUUUUUCAGAUGCUUGUCAACCUACACUGUUGAGCUUGUAGCAAAAAUUUGCUGUGUGCAUCCAGAUAAAUUGUGUAUGUGGAAUGGAUUCAGCAGUGAUCCUCUGCAAUUAAUUUGUACAUGGACAAAUUGCUACCACUAUUGCUACCACAAGGAGUAUGAUGCAUCACAGCUCCUUUCUGUGAACGUGCGUGAUUUAUCUAGAAAUGCUCCAGUGUUCAACACUUAAACAUUGUCAGCUAUAAUGUCAGAACAGAAGAAAAAUGGCAGAAGCUAUGCUGCAAUCAAUUCUCUGCUGGCAUAGCAUAUGUUAGUGACAUUAUAUGAGAGUCUUAUAUAAAAAUUGCCUUUCUGCCACAUGACUUAAGGAAUAUUUAUGUCAAGGAGAGCAGAAUCUGGAAGCUUCAAGCUGUUCCUUACCAUCCUUGUUUAUUGACUGCGUGGGCGUCAGUGCAGAAAAUGCAGGAGUGCCAUCUUCGUGUGAUCAGGAGGUGAAGUUGCUCAACUCAGGUUUCAUCUUCUAUAAUGCAGCAGAACUUUGCAGAAGUCCAUCUCCUUCUGAAAAGAGAAUGUGGCAUAUCAGUGGCGAUGCAAGUGAACAAAAUGGACUACAGUGUCUGAGGAGGACUGUAAGCAUGACCCAGUAAGGUGCUGCCCAGCAGUAGAGGAUUCUGUGGCUUCUAUGAGAGUUAAAGGAGAAGAGAACUUUCACACCAGAGGGAACUCUCGCUAGCACAGUCUAUAAGAAGCAGAACAAAUCUUUCAAGAUAAGUUGUGAAUCACAAAUGGAUUUGACUGGAACUCACAUCUGCCUAAAUACAUCUAUG
rnacentral:lncRNA from 1 species